rnacentral:lncRNA from 1 species
GAUGGAGUGGGGCUGGUAACCUAGGAAGGGGCAAGGGUCACUACAAUGUUAAUUGGUGUCUGCAGAUCAGACCCAUUUUUCUAUAGUGAAUAAUUUAAAAACAAUGUCAUUCAUUAAAUGAACCAAUGCCCUUGACUUCUUAAAAGAGGUGAAGGGAAUUAAUCACAGUAAGUUCUCUGAACAUAAAAAUUAACUAAGUUUAUAGUGCUGGAACUGAUGUGUGUGCGAUAACAGUACAUUAUAUUUGAAAGGAUGACCAGAAGACAGCAGCAGGAAUUAAACUAAAGCCAAGAAACUGAGCACAGCUCCUUGGACAAAUCUUAAUCUUGGCUGAUGCCAUAUCUGGUGGGGGUGAGCUGAAGUGUACUUCACUGUGCAUAGAGAGAGAAACCUGCUUUUGAAACUCCUUCCAGAAGCAUACUAUCUUUUCAUUUUUCCACCACAAAGAGAGCUCCCAGAUGAUUAUGCACUCUUCUGCCCAGUGAACAAAAGGAAGCAUAAUCUGGACUAACUACAGUAUCUGAAAUUUGGGAGGAAAGAAUAAAAGACAGAAAAAUGAAAAAGAAGAGGAAGAGAAGGAAGAAGAGAGGGUGUGUGGAUUUUGACCUUGAGAUGCUUAUACAUGUGUGGCAGAGAAACAAAACAAAUGACAUGAAAUGAUGCUGUAAAUUGGGAAACUUUAUACAUUUAGUUGGCUCUGCUGAUUGUUCUAAUUACCAGUUGAUAUGGUUUGGCUGCAUGCCCACCCAAAUCUCAUCUUGAAUUGU